rnacentral:rRNA from 1 species
CUGGUUGACCUCGAAUCAGGUAGGACUACCCGCUGAACUUAAGCAUAUCAAUAAGCGGAG